GGCCUACGCAAUCGCACGGAAACCUGAUCUGGAACUCGCAUGAGCUGGGAUUAACAAAAAAAAUAAUAAUAUUUCAGCUUCUUCCCAGCACCUUGGCCCCUUUCGCUGAUCUUAUCUCCCAAUUACUGCCCUGCAAACAUUCCUGCACUCCAAACAGACUGCGAACGUGGAACGCUGGAGUCCAUGAUCACCUGUUCUCUUCUAGACACGCAUCUACUUCCUGUUCUACACCAACACACCCUGACAUUGCAGCAUUGACAGUUUUGGGCAAGACUACCGGUUUGCUUUGACCAGACAGACACUAAAAUUCCCCUGCACAAACAGGGAACGGUUUGCCCUGCUCUUCCUUGGAGGGAUG
rnacentral:lncRNA from 1 species